UAUAAAUCUUUUUUUGUCGGAAAAAGGGAAGGGCCCUUAAAACAAUCAUAUUUUUUUUGGUGGUCCACCUUUUAUUUGGAGAACAGUGGUAAUUCUAGAGGUAAUACAACCCUAAAAACGCGCCUUCUUGGAAGGGUUGUUUUUAUUUAAUACAGAACCAACCCGCUUCCCGGUCUUUGGAUGAUUCAUAAUAAAUUAACGGAGCGCAUGACUCGUGUCGGCGCUGUGUCAUUCAAGUUUCUGACCUAUCAUCUUUCGACGGUAGGGUAUUGGCCUACCGUGGCCUUGACGGGUAAUGGAGAAAUAGGGUUGGAUUCCGGAGAGGGAGCCCGAGAAACGGCGACCACAUCUAAGGAAGGAAGCAGG
rnacentral:rRNA from 1 species